UACGGAGGGUGCAAGCGUUGUUCGGAAUCAUUGGGCGUAAAGCGCGUGUAGGCGGCUUGGCAAGUCGGUUGUGAAAGCCCGGGGCCCAACCCCGGAAUUGCAUCUGAAACUGCCUCGCUAGAGUCCCGGAGAGGAAGGCAGAAUUCCCGGUGUAGGGGUGAAAUCCGUAGAUAUCGGGAGGAACACCGGUGGCGAAGGCGGUUACCUGGACAAUUACUGACGCUCAGGCACGAAAGCAUGGGGAGCAAAAGGG
rnacentral:rRNA from 1 species